rnacentral:rRNA from 1 species
AACGAACGCUGGCGGCAUGCCUAACACAUGCAAGUCGAACGAGACCUUCGGGACUGGUUGCGCACGGGUGCGUAACGCGUGGGAACCUGCCCGUAGAUUCGGGAUAACUCCCCGAAGGGGGGGCUAAUACCGGGUAAUUUAUGCGGACCAAAGAUCUGUCGCGCUUGGGUGGGCACGCGUUCGAUUAGCUUGUUGGGAGGGUAUAAGCCUACGAAGGAGACGAUACAUAGCUGGUCUGAGAGGAUGAUCAGCCACACUGGGAGUGAGACACGGCCCAGACUACUACGGGAGGCAGCAGUGGGGAAUAUUGGACAAUGGGCGAAAGCCUGAUCCAGCAAUGCCGCGUGAGUGAUGAAGGUCUUAGGGUUGUACAGCUCUUUUACCCGGGACGAUAAUGACGGUACCCGAAGAAUAAGCUCCGGCUAACUUCGUG